AGGGAUCAUUACCGAGUUUACAACUCCCAAACCCCUGUGAACAUACCUUAUGUUGCCUCGGCGGAUCAGCCCGCGCCCCGUAAAAAGGGACGGCCCGCCGCAGGAACCCUAAACUCUGUUUUUAGUGGAACUUCUGAGUAUAAAAAACAAAUAAAUCAAAACUUUCAACAACGGAUCUCUUGGUUCUGGCAUCGAUGAAGAACGCAGCAAAAUGCGAUAAGUAAUGUGAAUUGCAGAAUUCAGUGAAUCAUCGAAUCUUUGAACGCACAUUGCGCCCGCCAGUAUUCUGGCGGGCAUGCCUGUUCGAGCGUCAUUUCAACCCUCAAGCCCAGCUUGGUGUUGGGAGCUGCAGUCCUGCUGCACUCCCCAAAUACAUUGGCGGUCACGUCGAGCUUCCAUAGCGUAGUAAUUUACACAUCGUUACUGGUAAUCGUCGCGGCCACGCCGUUAAACCCCAACUUCUGAAUGUUGACCUCGGAUCAGGUAGGAAUACCCGCUGAACUUAA
rnacentral:rRNA from 1 species